AGAACGAACGCUGGCGGCAGGCUUAACACAUGCAAGUCGAACGCACCGCAAGGUGAGUGGCAGACGGGUGAGUAACGCGUGGGAAUCUACCCAACCCUUCGGAAUAGCUCCGGGAAACUGGAAUUAAUACCGAGUACGCCCUACGGGGGAAAGAUUUAUCGGGGUUGGAUGAGCCCGCGUUGGAUUAGCUAGUUGGUGGGGUAAUGGCCUACCAAGGCGACGAUCCAUAGCUGGUCUGAGAGGAUGAUCAGCCACACUGGGACUGAGACACGGCCCAGACUCCUACGGGAGGCAGCAGUGGGGAAUAUUGGACAAUGGCGCAAGCCUGAUCCAGCCAUGCCGCGUGAGUGAUGAAGGCCCUAGGGUUGUAAAGCUCUUUCAGGUGGGAAGAUAAUGACGGUACCCACAGAAGAACGCCCGGCUAACUUCGUGCCAGCAGCCGAC
rnacentral:rRNA from 1 species